rnacentral:rRNA from 1 species
AACGAACGCUGGCGGCAUGCCUAACACAUGCAAGUCGAACGAGACCUUCGGGUCUAGUUGCGCACGGGUGCGUAACGCGUGGGAACCUGCCCUUAGGUUCGGAAUAACUCCCCUAAAGGGGUGCUAAUACCGGAUAAUGUCUUCGGACCAAAGAUUUAUCGCCUUUGGAUGGGCCCGCGUUGGAUUAGCUAGUUGGUAGGGUAAAAGCCUACCAAGGCGAGGAUCCAUAGCUGGUCUGAGAGGAUGAUCAGCCACACUGGGACUGAGACACGGCCCAGACUCCUACGGGAGGCAGGAGUGGGGAAUAUUGGACAAUGGGCGAAAGCCUGAUCCAGCAAGGCCGCGUGAGUGAUGAAGGCCUUAGGGUUGUAAAGCUCUUUUACCCGGGAUGAUAAUGACAGUACCGGGAGAAUAAGCUCCGGCUAACUCCGUG